rnacentral:rRNA from 1 species
AUUGAACGCUGGCGGCAGGCCUAACCCAUGCACGUCGAACGAGUGGCGGACGGGUGAGUAAUGUCUGGGAAACUGCCCGAUGUAGGGGGAUACCUACUGGAAACGGUAGCUAAUACCGCAUACCAUCGGAUGUGCCCCGAUGGGAUUAGAUAGUAGGGGGGGGAAUGGCUCACCCAGGCGACGAUACCUAGCUGGUCUGAGAGGAUUACCAGCCACACUGGAACUGAGACACGGUCCAGACUCCUACGGGAGGCAGCAGUGGGGAAUAUUGCACAAUGGGCGCAAGCCUGAUGCAGCCAUGCCGCGUGUAUGAAGAAGGCCUUCGGGUUGUAAAGUACUUUCAGCGAGGAGGCGUUACUCGCAGAAGAAGCACCGGCUAACUCCGUGCCAGCAGCCGCGGUAAUAC